rnacentral:lncRNA from 1 species
AUCAAGUUACAUAAUCAAGGUUAAUUUGCAAUUUUCUUUGCUAUUUGUUUCUGGAAUUUUUGUGCUUCUUUCAAUAUCAUUGGUAAGUCCUGUGUGUUGUUUGAUUUUAUAUAUUUUACUAUGUAACUUUUCUCUGAUGAAUGGAAUGAUUUACUUUGAAUUUAUUAAUCAAUCCAUGUGAAGCAAUGAAGGAAACCCUGAUUCUUCAUAUUGUAUAGCAGCUUGAGAAGCCCAUUGUUAUAACAUCCUCAUUGUUACAGGAUGCAUCUGCUGCCGAGCUUCAAGGAAGUGAUCAUAGAUCCACUUAAUCAUAGCAUACUUUUUUUUAUGCCACCACCUGCAAUAAUUUGCUCUUUUUAUUUUCAUAAUUCUUUUUUAGAAUGAAGUGCAGCACCUCGCCACUGUCUGGAUUGUUUGUAAACGCCAAUUUGGAUGCUCUUUAACCAAAUUUACAAACUUUUAGUCUAUCUAUAUCAUCAUGCUUUUCAUACAAGGCCAUAUGUGAAAAUAUAUUCAUUUCAAUGUCAUAAGCCUUUCAUGAUUCUGCACUUGGAGAAGGCUGCUCAGAAAAAUGUUCACCUGAUCCUACCAUUUUGUGAAAAUUAUCAAAAAAAACUGUCAUGUAUCAAAACAAUCAAUACUGAUAUCCAUGUCUGAAAGUGAAACAGGAAAUGACUGGGCUGUAUAUGUUUGUUAGAGUAACCUUAUCCGUUUUGAAUUGGAACAGUUCAUUGUUGACAUAUAAUUAAUAACUGUAAGUGAAAAGUAAUAUUCACAAGUCAAUUGUUAAGGUUGCAUCUGAUCAAAAUAACAAGUAAAAUGUAAUAAAUUUACAAAAUAUAUAAUUUUAUUUUGUAAAUAUUGAUACCUAUCAAUUAAUGAAUAUAAUAAUAAUUAAAAUAAAUUAAU